ACCUCUGUGGCCUAAUGGAUUAGGCACCGGCCUCCUAAGUCAGGGAUUACGAUUUCGCGUCUCGCCAGAGGUA
rfam:Daphnia pulex DAPPTscaffold_363_Cont9049, whole genome shotgun sequence.